rnacentral:rRNA from 1 species
GGAUAGGGGUGAAAGGCUAAACAAACCUGGAAAUAGCUGGUUCUCUCCGAAAACUAUUUAGGUAGUGCCUCGUGUCUCACCUUAGGGGGUAGAGCACUGUCAUGGUUGGGGGGUCUAUUGCAGAUUACCCCGCCAUAGCAAACUCCGAAUACCGAAGAGUGCAAUCACGGGAGACAGACAUCGGGUGCUAACGUCCGGUGUCAAGAGGGAAACAACCCAGACCGCCAGCUAAGGUCCCCAAAUAUAGCUACGUGGGAAACGAAGUGGGAAGGCUAAAACAGUCAGGAGGUUGGCUUAGAAGCAGCCACCCUUUAAAGAAAGCGUAAUAGCUCACUGAUCGAGUCGUCCUGCGCGGAAGAUGUAACGGGGCUAAGCUAUAUACCGAAGCUGCGGAUG